rnacentral:tRNA from 1 species
AACAGAAUGGCCGAGUGGUCCUAAGGCGCCAGACUCAAGUUCUGGUCCACUUCUGUGGGUGUGGGUUCGAAUCCCACUUCUGACA